rnacentral:rRNA from 1 species
GAUGAACGCUGGCGGCGUGCUUAACACAUGCAAGUCGAACGUGAGGGUGCAGCGAUGUGCCUGAAAGUGGCGAACGGGUGAGUAACACGUAGAUGACCUGCCCUGGAGUGGGGGAUAACCAUUGGAAACGGUGGCUAAUACCGCAUACAUCCGGAGAACUGGGAAGUUUUCUGGGGAAAGCUCUGGUGCUUCAGGAGGGUCUGCGUCCGAUUAGCUAGUUGGUGGGGUAAAGGCUCACCAAGGCGACGAUCGGUAGCUGGUCUGAGAGGACGAUCAGCCACACGGGAACUGAGACACGGUCCCGACUCCUACGGGGGGCAGCAGUGAGGAAUAUUGGGCAAUGGGCGGAAGCCUGACCCAGCAACGCCGCGUGGAGGAAGACGGCCUU